GCCAGACCGGGAAGAUACGAGAAUUGGAACAACUGCUGGUGUGGGGUGCUACCAAUGCUUCUUUUCCUCCACCUAACGAGCCGCUAUGUGGAUAUCUCAAGCAACUCCCGCCGUGUAUGCCUGGUGAUAAUCGAUUUACAUACAUUCUGUCGAUCAGUUUAGUUUGUUCGUUCGGGGCCCUCACUAUUUUGGGAUGCGCAGUGUACAUCAAACGCAAAGCAGACAAUCAGUUGCUCCGUGACCCAUGGUGGCAAGUGUAUCUGCAAGCACCAGAUUACAGAGUAGUAUCCCGGCACUCGAUAUCAGUUUCACGAGCAGUAUCUCGGCACUCGAUU